AGAUGAGUAGCUGACCUACGGGUGUGAAAUAUCUGCCACAAUCCCCGUUAGAAGGAUAUGGAGCUCCAGCUAGCGGCAAUCCCAUCUUGAUUGUGGAAUCUGACUGAACCUUCAAUUGCCAGCUUCUAUAUUUUCAGCGAUAGCAUGAAUGCCGCAGUCCAGCUUCAAAGUUUGUUCAUUAUUUGGAGCAGGAGGGCUUGAUUUGCACGGCCUUAAUACAGAAUAACGAUCUGGAUCGCAUCGAACUACUUGUUCAUGGACAAGCUGUCCAAUACUUAUUUUGUCAGAUUGGAAAGCAAUCAGGCGUCGAACCUCCGGGAAGAACCAUAAAGACUUCUAACGACGAGUCCGGGGAAUAUCGAUUCUGCCCAAAAUGACUCAAUUAAACUCAAGUUCAAAUUUCCCAUCAGUAAAAUAAUAAUUCAGAAAGCUGUUGACCUCAGUGAGGGUGCUUUAGUUUACCCAAGCAAUCCACCCAUUUUAUUCUGAGUAAUAUUGCUGUGAUCACUGGCAAAGUUUGGUGUUUUUAGAGCAUUGAUUUAUUUUGCCCAAGCAGCUUGUGAGAAAUGAUCUAUCAUAUCAAACAUUGUGAGAAAGGAUCUAUCAUAUCAAGCAUUGUGAGAAGUGAUUGAUCAUCUUAUUCUAUCUCAAUUUCGGAAACCGGAUCACUGCUCCGAUGUAUACCAGCACUGCCCCCAUCAUAUGUUCAAGCAUUCUCUUUCUUAUAAAUACUGCCUGGUUAUCAUGUAAU
rnacentral:sRNA from 1 species